CAAAGCACCACGGCGGUUAAUCAAUGACUGCUCUGAAGUGAUGGAUGCAGACAUAGGAUAAUCACCACCAAUACCAAUACCCAACAUAACACGGAAAGCAAAAAGCCACAUCAUUUUAGCAGUCGGUGUAGGAAUACGAUCAGGGAGACAAAUGAUUAAAAUAGUAGCGAUAAUGACAACCAUCAUUUCUUUGCCAUAGACAAAUUUACGACCGAAGAAAUCACCCAAAAACCCAAAUAAAAGUUGACCCAUAAUAUUUCCAAUGUUGGUAGCAGCAUUUACAACACCGCGAAUACCAGAAGGAUAAUCUUGAUGUCCUGUCAAUCCACCCCAAUACAAAUAAGCAAGAAUUGGCGAAACCAAGUUAAUAAUGAAAAGAUCGUAACUGUCCAAAAGAAAACCAGUACCAGCAAUUGCAAGAAGUUUGGCC